GGCUACACACGUGCUACAAUGGGUAGUACAGAGAGUCGCAAAGCCGCGAGGUGGAGCUAAUCUCAGAAAACUAUUCUUAGUUCGGAUUGUACUCUGCAACUCGAGUACAUGAAGUUGGAAUCGCUAGUAAUCGCGAAUCAGCAAUGUCGCGGUGAAUACGUUCUCGGGUCUUGUACACACCCGCCCGUCACACCACGAGAGUUGGUUGCACCUGAAGUAGCAGGCCUAACCGUAAGGAGGGAUGCUCCGAGGGUGUGAUUAGCGAUUGGGGUGAAGUCGUAACAAGGUAUCCGUACGGGAACGU
rnacentral:rRNA from 1 species